GGCAGCAGCCUUCGCUUCAGCACAGCUACGGGCAGGAGCAGUGUGGGGAGCUGUCGGUGGUCCGCAGGGAUGCCCCGGGGCUCCAGGGCCAGGUUGGGGGACCUCCUCCGCCGCCGCCGCCGCCUCUUCAGCCAGUGGGCAGCCCAGGCUGGCUCUAUCCAUGCCAGCUCCAGCACCACCCCCCCUGCUGCCAGCACCAAGGGCUACAAAAGGAGAACUAAGUUCAAGAUGCCACACCUCAAAGCUCACAACUUCCAUGACAGCAGGCCCUGGUUAACACUGUCAGAACACUCUUCAGCUGUCUCUUUCUCUGCACCUGUGACAGUGCCUCCAUGAGUCCCCAGUCUAGACGGAAAACCAAAGGGACAGGGAAGGAAGGUACCUGACCACUGGCCACGAAAACAGAGAGGCAGCCAUGCAAGGGACUAAGAACACAGUCUCUUCCGGAGGGAAGUGGUCACAAUGGAGCUGGUGAGCAGAAAACAAGAAUGCCUGCAAGGAGCUCACUGUUUUGGCUCCUACCUGUGGGGGCAGAGGCCAUGGACCCUCGGGACAACUGGCCCCCGCUUCCUCCUCUGGCUCAGCUACCACCUGUGGGUCCAAGGCACAGAAGAGCUGGAGCACUAGCCUCGGUGUGGGCCCUGCCUUCUCCCUCCCAGGCCCAGCCGGUCAAGGGAGGACUCCUAGUCCCCUCUCCACGCGCGACUCCUUCCAGGACUAACUUUUGACAAAGGGCUUUGAGAUCCCAGGCCGAAGCCGGCUCAGGAGCCGGUCGCCUUACCUCACUGGGACCUAGGAGCCCCGCAAGGGCUGCCAGGAGAAGCAGCUGGGGCGACGGCGGCGGAGGCACCAUCCCGGGUGGCCUGGGGCUCGGCCCGAAGUCCUGCAAGCCAGGGAACCCGCCCCAGCGUACCCACGUAGACCCUGGGAUCGCGUGCGCGCCGUUCCACCCCCUCCCAGAGGGGCGCCCAGACUCCCAAGGAUCGCGCGCCUCUCGCCUCGCCCCGCCCCAAUGCCCGCCCACAACCACCUACUUUUCGCGCACGCGCGGUAAACCCGAAGCCGGAAAAGUUGUGUGUAGGAACCCGGCCCAGCGCACCGCGCGGCAGCACUGGCAGGGACCCGUCUUGGCCCGCACGUCAGUCUCAGCGCGUCUCCAGGGCCUGCCGAGAGCAGCUGCAGUGCCUGGGCGGGAUCACGGAGCCGGGCGAAGGGCGGGAAGUGGGAUCCCAGUGGACCGAGUGGCCCAGGAGGGGAGACGGACGGGUUCGCUCCUCCCGCAAACCUGCCUCCGACAUGUCAGGGUUACCUGCAACUAGAAGAGGAGGCAGAAUCACGAAGUCCGAGCUGCGGAAGGAAGACGGUCCCCGCUCUAGAACUCCACCUUCAGUCCACCGUCAUCCCAUUCCACUCGUAUCCUCGAAAAUAGGGCCCGAACCCAGAGGAACUUAGGAGGGUCUCAGACCUCUACCCUUCCCAGGCCCAGAAGUCCGAGGAAGCUGAAGCCGGGGCUGGAGCUCCUUUGUCCCCCCCCCCCCCCCAUGCCCGCCUCUGCUCUUGUCGUUAGUUCGGCGAUGGCUGGCAUGUGCCCAGGGAGACAUCUGUUAGCGUGAGGUGGAGUCACAGUCUUUGGCCCCCGCAGGGAGAGCUGGCUGGACCUCCCCUGUAGGGGGCACCGGCUCUGCUGUUCUCUUUCCAAUGCCCUUCUCUUUGGCCCAACUCAGAAUUUUGACGAAGGGAACGUGGGUGGAGGGUGAGGAUUAAAAUGACCAGCCUCAACCUAGAAAUAGAGGGAGAAGGAUUAUUUCGAAAUAGAGCAAGAACGUGACUUACAGAGGGAUUUUUUACCCAUCCCUCAACCCCCCUAAUUGUCAGUUACUGAACCAGUGAAGGGACUGCAAUCUAUCCCCUGCCACGGCUCCAUCGCAGGGUGACAGGCAACCCCUCGCAGGGCACCCGAGUACGUCUUUUCCCCGAGCUUGGGGCUGUUGCUUCUGGAGAGGUCUUUCUCAGGGAGUGGUGCUGAGGAUUUCCUCUAUCUGAAGCCAGGCUCCUGGGGAACUCCGUGCUCCCGGGAAGGGGGGUGGGGUCGGGACCGCACGCUGAUGCAGGCAAGGGAACAGCAAACCAGCUGUCCCGCGGGACGCCGGCCCAGCCCUCGCUGGCGCUGAGCCUGACCCCCUGCC